UGAACCCUUUCUUAAUAGAAAAUUAUAUAUUUUCAGAAGAUUAACUACUGAACCUUGUCAUAAUAGGUUAACAAAUUUUAUCUAACAGUCACUUAUGCUAAAUAAAUUAUUUUUUAAAGAAAAUAUCUAACAUUGUAAUAUAAGAAAAUACAAAAAAAGAAUACAAAGAAUAGUGAUAUAGACUUAGCAUUCUACUCAUCCUAUGGAAUGCACCAUGAACUCAGCCCGACCAGAGUCGCGUACAAGAGAAAACUAUGCAUAUGGCUGAUGUUGUUCAAGAUCCUCCUCUGAAGUUGUUUCCUUUAUGAUGUAUCCAAAGGCAUUUUGCUGGGAGGCUUUCUAGCGAUCUAUGCCAAGGAAGACAAAAGCAGUCAUUAAGCAGAAAUUAACCAAAUUUUGAAACACAAAUAAACCUUUCUUGAAACACUAAAGCAGGAUUCUAAGUUUUGGUUUGAAGUCAAUCGCAAGAUCAUAAAUGUUACAUACUCGUGGCAGCAUAUGCGAGAGCACGUUGGCGAUAUCUACCUUCUUCAUCGUUAACUUGAAUCGUGUUAAUCAGGUACAUUUCAGGAUAGACCAAUCAGCUGAAAUGGAUUGAAAAGAAGACAAGAGACAAAACCUAUAAGGAGAAUCUGAACAGAGAGGAGUCAUGUAUCCUUCCUCGCUGAGAACAAGGGGACAAGACAGUUUUUCUAGUUAGAGUGCUUGGUUAAAGAUUGGUCCUAUGGAAGAGAACCCAUGACAAUCAGAUUUACUAUACAAGAAGGUUAUGAUUUGUACCAGAGUGAGAAAAUUCAAACAAUUACUCCUUAACAAGCAUUGUGGUUGUAAAUCAAAGCAUAUAUGCCAUACCCCUCUCAAGCUUCUGCAGCUUACUACCUCUUUAGCAGCUUUGCUUAACAGAACCCAUGCUAUCGCGCUAACCUUCUUGAGAGAUAAAUACAACACAUUAGUUAAAAAAAAAAAAAAAAGAUAAAUACAACACAUAGUUCACAUAACUCUAAUUAUCUCUAGAAAAAUAUUAAAAGGCAAACCACAAGAGAAACAAACACAAAGUUGAUAAAUAACUAAGAGAAGUGACCGUUGCCUCUAUUUCAAAACUUUUUACCCAUUAGAUAUAUCAUUUCCCUUCUUUUUGUAACAUUUUACGGUUUUGUGAAUGUAACGUAGCUGGCUGGGUAGUCUGGGUUAAUUGAAAAAAAAAACAAGUUGUGUAGAGGUUGAAAGUUGAAACACGUACCAUCAUCAUAAGUUUGUUUCACGGCUUAACAUAUCCCAUUUGAAAAGGGGUAACAAAUUUAAUUCUCAUGUGUUUUAGCUGCCAAACGUUGCAAUCAUAGACGACCAACACGAAGAUUGGUUUUUAGAGAAACUGGAGAAUCACAACCAUACAAUAAACAGUAAAAUAUUAAUGAAAUUUCAGUGUAAUAACUUGCGCUUAGAAACUGUUUGUCCAUGUUGUUUGGUUUUAUCAAAUAUCUUUGGUGCAAGGCUGCAAGCUUUUCUCUAACUCACCUUUAUUGUCUUUUGUAAACUCUUCAAACUAAUUUUUUAUGAUUAGAAAUACCUUGCUUUUCCAAAUCCCUUUCUCAAAAUAUAUAGCUAUUUUGCAAACGUACAGAAUUAUAAAUAUAUUGGGUUGCAAUUUUUGUAGAAAACAUAUAAUCCUAUAAUCACCAAAUCUGUGUCUCUUUUAAAUAAAAUUUCAUAAGGAAAUAAAUCUCACAUUUAAAAAGCCGAAUCAAAAUUAAAUGUUUACACUAGUAAAAAUCUUCCGCAUAGCCACGGUAGUGCCAGUGUAAAAUCGUGGCUUAUUUGAAAAAAUCACUGUUUAGCCACGGUUAGCCACAAUUUUUUUAAAAGACACGAUUAUUCUUUUCUAGCCACGAUUCAGUCACUAAAUAAUCAUGGUUAUUUUAGUAGCCACGAUUUAGCUACGAAAUGACAGUGGCUAAUCGUUAGCCACGACUCAGCCACUUUAUUUUUGUGGCUAUUUAGUUUUUCUAUACCCUAAACCCUAAACUUCAAAAUUAAAUUAUACAUCCUAGAUACUAAAACCAAAAUACAAAUAUAACAUUUUUGAAAAACUUUAAAUAUAAAUGUUAAAUUUAAAUUCUAAAUAUAAAUUUCUUUAAAAUCCAUUAUAAAUCUUAAACCUAAACCCUUAUCUUAAACUUUACAUACAAAAACCAUAAAUCUAAUGUUUUCAAACCAUAAACCUUAUAUCAUACAUUAAAUCACAAAUAUUUUAAUCUAAUUAAACCCAAAAUUUAUAUAUUUCAAACUCUAAAAACAUUUAUACUUUCAAUUAUUUAAUCUUAACAUUUACAUUUAAUCUUUAACAAGUGUACUCAAAUCCUAUUUCUCAAACUAUAAACUCUAUAUUGUAAACAUAUAUCAUUAAACCAUGAAGCAUUAUAUCUUAAAUUCAAAAUAUUGAAAUUUAAAUUGAAAAUCUUAUCAAUUUUCUUUAGGUUAUGCACUAUAAUCAUAAGCUAACAACUAAAUAAUAAAAAGAAAAGAAAUACUGAAAUCUAAUGCUAAUUCCUAAACUAACUUCUCAUUGGUCAAAAGAAGAAAGGAACGGAUUACCCCCUGUUAGAUCACAACCAUUCAUAAAGAUCCAUCGAACGGCCACAACUACACACGCUUUAUAUUUUUAUUUUUAAUUUAUUUUCUUCUUCCUUCUCUUCUCUCGUCUCUGAUUUUUUUCUAGAUCUAAGUUUCGUUUUCACACAGAUCUCUCUACCGCUCACACAUCUCUCCAUCUCUGCUCACAGAAGAAACAUCAAUGCCUCUACUCACAUAUCUAUGUUUGUAUCUUAUCAGUUGUGUAUGUAUUUGAUUUUGUUUUGAUAGAUGACAGAUACGGAGGUGGACUGCGACGGUAACGAAGAUGGAGAGACAUAGAUGGCUGAGGAAGAAGCGGAGAUUUUUAAACUAGGAAGAAGAAGAAGAAGGAGAGAAGACAAAGGAAGAAGAAGAAAAGCCAAGAUGAAGCUUCGCUGGCUCCUUCCAGAGCCAAUAUUGAAGAAGAUGAAGGUGGUGCGGUGGUGCGUGUAUCACCGGUGAUCACGGGGGUGGGCUAUCACCGGAGGAAUGUUGCGCGUGGUUCAUGGCCUGGUGCGCGUGGUGCUGUGCGAGGAUAUACAUAUAUAAUAAACAUGUAAUUUAUAAGAUUUUAUAUUUUAUUAAUAAAUUAUUUUAUUUUUUA